UUGAACGCUGGCGGCAUGCCUUACCCAUGCCAGUCGCACGGCAGCACGGGAGUAAUCCUGGUGGCGAGUGGCGAACGGGUGAGUAAAGCAUCGGAACGUGCCCAGUCGUGGGGGAUAACGUAGCGAAAGCUACGCUAAUACCGCAUACGAUCUGUGGAUGAAAGCGGGGGACCGUAAGGCCUCGCGCGAUUGGAGCGGCCGAUGUCAGAUUAGGUAGUUGGUGAGGUAAAGGCUCACCAAGCCGACGAUCUGUAGCUGGUCUGAGAGGACGACCAGCCACACUGGGACUGAGACACGGCCCAGACUCCUACGGGAGGCAGCAGUGGGGAAUUUUGGACAAUGGGCGCAAGCCUGAUCCAGCAAUGCCGCGUGCAGGAUGAAGGCCUUCGGGUUGUAAACUGCUUUUGUACGGAGCGAAAAGGCUUCCACUAAUACUGGGGGCUCAUGACGGUACCGUAAGAAUAAGCACCGGCUAACUACGUG
rnacentral:rRNA from 1 species